rnacentral:lncRNA from 1 species
UUUGGAUGUGGGCAGAUGGCAGGAAUUGAAGAAAGAAGAAUUUAAACGCUGGUUGAUCCAGAGCUCAGAGACCUGGCAUUGCCACGAAGGAAGGCACGGCACAAUCAGAAGUGCCUGGGGAAGCCAGAAGAGGGUGUUGGAUCUCCUGGGACUUGAAAGAGAGGCAACUGAUGUGGGUGCCUGAAAUAGACUAUGGGUCUGGAAGAAGCUGCUGAGUCAUUGCUCUGUGACUGAAUCUAUAUACAAGAGAUCCAAUGAUACACAGACUCUCCAACCUCAACAUGUUCAAAGAGAGUGGAGGAAAGGGCACAAAACAGAAUCUCUCUGGCUGUUCUUUAUGUUGGCCUCCUGACCAGGACUGAAUGACUCAGGGGUGAGGGUCCAUCCAUUUGCCUACAACCACUCUGGAAA